rnacentral:tRNA from 1 species
UGCAUCGGCCGGGAAUCGAUUCCGGGGCGCCCGCGUGGCAGGCGAGCAUUCUACCACUGAACCAAAAGC